GACGAACGCUGGCGGCGUGCUUAACACAUGCAAGUCGAACGGAAAGGCCCUGCUUUUGUGGGGUGCUCGAGUGGCGAACGGGUGAGUAACACGUGAGUAACCUGCCCUUGACUUUGGGAUAACUUCAGGAAACUGGGGCUAAUACCGGAUAGGAGCUCCUGCUGCAUGGUGGGGGUUGGAAAGUUUCGGCGGUUGGGGAUGGACUCGCGGCUUAUCAGCUUGUUGGUGGGGUAGUGGCUUACCAAGGCUUUGACGGGUAGCCGGCCUGUGGGGGUGACCGGCAGUAUUGGGUACUAAGGAGGGCCCCAGCCGCGACGGGAGGACAGUGGGGGGAAAUUUGCAACAGGGGCGGGAGGUGUGUGAAGCAAGCCCGCGGGGGGGAAAGCGGCUUGUGGGGGGAAAACCGGCUUUCGCUUGAGACGAAGCUGGUUUGACGUUAAGGGAAAAAAAAACACCGGCUAGCUCCGUG
rnacentral:rRNA from 1 species